ensembl:lncRNA
GGGAGAGUGGGUUCGAGAAAGCCGCGGGCCCGUGGAGCAGACUGGCCAUCCUAGGCCUGCCCGGGGAAAGCCCGUCCGGGCCGAGCCUGGGCAAGCAGGCCUCGGCCUGCCGUUACCAUGGAGCUGGGGGCGGGGGCGGGGGCCAGACCGGUCCGCCGGGGCGGGCCUCGCUGCCAGGGGCUCCGCGGAGGCCGCGGGAGAGGCAGCUUCAUUGGCGCAGCGACGCCUUCGCCUCAGGGGAUGCUCUUUUCCCAAGGCAAGGCCUGGAGGAAGUCUGCAGAGUGCCCCGAGACCUUUGUCUCCUCCUCCGCCCCCACCCCGUGCCGCCUGGACCGUUCGUCCAGAGGGAGGCCUGGUGCAUUCUGGCCCCCCUGGUCUACCCCCUUUUGCACCGACCUUGUCACCGGGGAGGCCAAGGGGAGGAGGCCGAGCCUCGUGAUGAGGAAUAGCAAGGAGAGAAUUCAGCUCCAGUUCAAAAGCCUGCAAAAUCUGAGACUGUCACUGCUUUUGUAAGGUAAGUUGCUUUAGCCUUGUGUGCACAGCAGUGGUGGAUCUCAUGCCCAGCCACUCUGUAAUGCAACAGGAAUGAAUUCAAUCCAUUUCUGACUGUCUUGGAAGAAGACUGUUUUAAAUGAGUCAUUAUGGAGUCUCUGUAUUGGUAUCAUCCCAUAGGGAGUUCACCUGGAGUUAAGUUGUGUUUCCUUAUGGAGAAAUCUGGACAUAAUAGAAUUUUAUUUUUCUCUAAAUUAGAGUCACUAAACCAUACCAAGUUUUUAAAUGUUACUACAUUAACAAGGAAGGUAGCAUUCUUUUGGAUCUCUACAAAAUGGUCUGGAGCUUUGUAAAAUUUCUGUAAAAGAUCCUAUCUUGAAUCUCAUCCUGUAUUUUUAAAAACUAGUAUGGGCCGGCGCCGCGGCUCACUAGGCUAAUUCUCCGCCUAGCGGCGCCGGCACACCGGGUUCUAGUCCCGGUCGGGGCGCCGGAUUCUGUCCCAGUUGCCCCUCUUCCAGGCCAGCUCUCUGCUGUGGCCAGGGAGUGCAGUGGAGGAUGGCCCAGGUGCUUGGGCCCUGCACCCCAUGGGAGACCAGGAAAAGCACCUGGCUCCUGGCUCCUGCCAUCGGAUCAGGGCAGUGCGCCGGCCGCAGCUCGCCGGCCGCGGCGGCCAUUGGAGGGUGAACCAAUGGCAAAAGGAAGACCUUUCUCUCUGUCUCUCUCUCUCACUGUCCACUCUGCCUGUCAAAAAAAAAAAAACAAAAACUAGUAUGGGACAAGAUGGUGGUAUCAGCCUUGGCAUGGAGAGGAUUGGAGACUUUUAAAAAGCAAAACUGGAAAUCUAUUUAUAAGCAACUUAAUUUAUAAUUUCCUAGCUGGAAACUAUUAUUUCUUAAAUAGUAAUCACCUAAAAAUAUUUUAUAUUUUAAAAUAUUGAGGUUUCCUUUAAAACUAGAAUCCCAAACUAUACCCUUUUCAGUUUACUUUGCAUAGGAGUCUACAAGAUGUACCUUCUUAAAGUAAACUUUAUAAUUUUUGAUAUUGUAUUGAAGUUUUCUCUCUGAGCUUCCAAAUUCUGUCGGCUGAAAUUCCCAGCAUCUCUGGGACGAGGAGGCCAAUAGUGCAGACCUGCUGUGGAUCUGAAAGAUUCAGCCGCAGGUCAACCCUCCACUCCCCACCUCCUCACAAUUUGAGAAUGAGAAGGAAGAAAUGAGAGGAGUAGGAGAGUAAGCCUCAGUAGACUCCUAGUUAUGUUGAAUGUUAUGCUGAUAUAUCACAACAUUGCAUAGGUAUUUAUAGAUUAAGGCCAUUUAAGAUUACUGUAUUAAUAAAAACAUCUGUAAGCCUGAGUUUGAGUAUUUU